rnacentral:rRNA from 1 species
UACGUAGGGGCCAAGCGUUGUCCGGAUUUAUUGGGCGUAAAGAGCUCGUAGGUGGUUCGGCAAGUCAGUUGUGAAAUCCUCCGCGCUCAACGCGGAGGGUCAGCUGAAACUGCUGGUGACUUGAGGUCUGGAUAGGGGAGUGUGGAAUUCCCGGUGUAGCGGUGAAAUGCGCAGACUAUCGGGAGGAAGACCAGCGGCGGAAGG